rnacentral:rRNA from 1 species
AUUGAACGCUGGCGGCAUGCCUUACACAUGCAAGUCGAACGGUAACGCGGGGCAACCUGGCGACGAGUGGCGAACGGGUGAGUAACGCAUCGGAACGUGCCCAGUAGUGGGGGAUAGCCCGGCGAAAGCCGGAUUAAUACCGCAAACGACCUACGGGUGAAAGGGGGGGAUCGCAAGACCUCUCGCUAUUGGAGCGGCCGAUGUCAGAUUAGGUAGUUGGUGGGGUAAAGGCCUACCAAGCCGACGAUCUGUAGCUGGUCUGAGAGGACGACCAGCAACACUGGGACUGGGACACGGCCCAGACUCCUACGGGAGGCAGCAGUGGGGAAUUUUGGACAAUGGGCGAAAGCCUGAUCCAGCCAUGCCGCGUGCGGGAAGAAGGCCUUCGGGUUGUAAACCGCUUUUGUCAGGGAAGAAAUCUUCUGGGUUAAUACCUCGGGAGGAUGACGGUACCUGAAGAAUAAGCACCGGCUAACUACGUGCCAGCCGCCGCAGUAAAAC